rnacentral:rRNA from 1 species
UACGAGGGGGGCGGGCGUUGUUCGGAAUUAUUGGGCGUAAAGGGUGCGUAGGCGGUUCCGCAAGUCCUGUGUGAAAUCUUCGGGCUCAACUCGAAGUCUGCACGGGAAACUGCGGGGCUUGAGUGUGGGAGAGGUGAGUGGAAUUCCCGGUGUAGCGGUGAAAUGCGCAGAUAUCGGGAAGAACACCCGUGGCGAAGGCGGCACUCUGGGACGGUACUGACGCUGAGACGCGAAAGCGUGGGGAGCGAACAGG